AUAUAUCAAAACCACAAUUUUCUAAUUUACAAACUGUCUCAAUUAAGCAGAAAACAGUAAUACCUCUUAUACACUAUUAUUGCAAUAAAGCACACCAAUAAACAUAGAAGCUUACAGAUUCUCCUGAUUAUUUCAGGGAAAAGAAGAAAACAAAAUAUAAGCGACGUCAAAAUUUGUCCAAGUACACUAUAUCCUAGCAGGAAGUAAACAAACUCACUCUGCUUCUGCUGCUGCUGCAUCCCCACCAUUAAUUUCUUGGCUUCUUGUAUCUGGCAAGGUUCCCAAAUCUGUCCGAGCCUCUUUUUCCUCUUGAGAAACUGAAGAAUUUGAAGAAUCAACUGAAUCGUUCUGGGAAGAAUUAUUUGAGUCAUUCUGGCUGGCAUGUGUGUUGCUAUCUGUGUUUGAGGCUGCAUCUUUCUCUUUUUGGGAUGUUAAAGAGUCAGUGGAAACAACUUGCUCUUGG
rnacentral:misc_RNA from 1 species